rnacentral:rRNA from 1 species
UGCUCUAAGCAAAUAAAUUUAGAGUAACUCCUGCCCAGUGAUAAUUUCAACGGCCGCGGUAUCCUAACCGUGCAAAGGUAGCAUAAUCACUUGCCCAUUAAUUGUGGGCUAGAAUGAAAGGAUUAACGAAAUAAAAGCUGUCUCUAUGAGAUAUCUAAAAAUUACCCUUUAACCGAAGAGCGUUAAAUGCAGUCGAAGGACAAGAAGACCCUAUAGAGCUUAAUUAAAAUAAAUACCUAUAAUUUAAAUAAAUUCGGUUGGGGCGACCAGGGAAAUUAUAAAUCAUCCCUAAUUAAAAAGAUAAAUUAAUCUGACUACUGACCCUUAAUUAAGAUCACUAAAACAAGCUACCUUAGGGAUAACAGGCUAAUCUUACUAGAGAGUCCUUAUCAAUAGUAGGGUUUGGCACCUCGAUGUUGGCUUAGGGAAUCUAUGUGGCGCAAAAGUCACAUAAAGAUGGUUUGUUCAA